rnacentral:rRNA from 1 species
AUUGAACGCUGGCGGCAUGCCUUACACAUGCAAGUCGAACGGCAGCACGGGAGCAAUCCUGGUGGCGGAGUGGCGAACGGGUGAGUAAUAUAUCGGAACGUGCCCAGUCGUGGGGGAUAACGUAGCGAAAGCUACGCUAAUACCGCAUACGAUCUAUGGAUGAAAGCGGGGGAUCGCAAGACCUCGCGCGAUUGGAGCGGCCGACAUCAGAUUAGGUAGUUGGUGAGGUAAAGGCUCACCAAGCCGACGAUCUGUAGCUGGUCUGAGAGGACGACCAGCCACACUGGGACUGAGACACGGCCCAGACUCCUACGGGAGGCAGCAGUGGGGAAUUUUGGACAAUGGGCGCAAGCCUGAUCCAGCAAUGCCGCGUGCAGGAUGAAGGCCUUCGGGUUGUAAACUGCUUUGUACGGAACGAAACGGUGAGCUCUAAUACAGUUUGCUAAUGACGGUACCGUAAGAAUAAGCACCGGCUAACUACGUG